rnacentral:ncRNA from 1 species
CAGAAGAGACCUCGUUCAAUCGAGGCGCCGAAGGCGCAACACGCCCGGAAACGCUCAGGCAAAAGGACUGAGUA